rnacentral:rRNA from 1 species
ACGGAGGGUGCGAGCGUUGUCCGGAAUCACUGGGCGUAAAGGGCGCGUAGGCGGCGCGGUAAGCGGGCGGUGAAAGCCCGGGGCUCAACCCCGGGUCGGCCGUGCGGACUGCCGCGCUGGAGCACUGUAGAGGCGGGUGGAAUUCCGGGUGAAGCGGUGGAAUGCGUAGAGAUCCGGAAGAACACCGAUGGCGAAGGCAGGUCUCUGGGCCACUACUGACGCUGAGAAGCGAAAGCAUGGGGAGCGAACAGGA